GCCAGGCAUAGUGGCUUAUGCCUGUAAUCCCAGCACUUUGGGAGGCUGAGAUGGGCGGAUCACUUGAGGUCAGGAGUUUGAGACCAACCUGGCCAACACGGUGAAACCCCAUCUCUA
ensembl:misc_RNA Metazoa_SRP Metazoan signal recognition particle RNA